rfam:Candidatus Chisholmbacteria bacterium RIFCSPHIGHO2_01_FTLL_52_32 rifcsphigho2_01_scaffold_32, whole genome shotgun sequence.
CAACGUUCGUCGACUUCGGGUUAGGCGGUCCUAAGGUGAGGCCAUAUGGCGUAGCCGAUGGAAAACGGGUUGAUAUUCCCGUUCUUGGUUGUAGUCGUUAUCAGCUGGGGAGGGACGAUGAAGGAUAACCUGGGCGGCGCGAGGAAGUUGCGUUCGUCUAAGCCGUAAAGCAGAAUGUGUUGGAAAAUCCGCAGAUUCGACGCUGAAUGGUGAUGGGAAGGCCAAACGCAAGUGAGGCCAACCCGGGUGAUUUCAUCAUCCGAGAAAAGCUUCGCAGUGAGACUACAACCAAACCGUACCGACAACCGACACUGGUGGGCUGGUAGAGCAUACCAAGGCGAGCGGGAGAAGGAGGUUUAAGGAAUUCGGCAAAUUAGCUGGGCGUACCUUUGGUAUAUGCCCUCCCCGUGAGAUGUCGCGCAAGCGCUGUCUUAUGGGGUUCAACAAAAGAUUACAGAGCGACUGUUUACCAAAAACACAGGUCUGUGCAAACUCGAAAGAGGAGGUAUACAGGCUGAGGCCUGCCCAGUGCCGGAAGGUUAAUUGCGGGGGUGAGUCCGACUUGUCGGACAAGCCUCCAAUCGAAGCCCCGGUGAACGGCAGCAGUAACUAUAACUGUUCUAUGGUAGCGCAGUCUCUAGUCGCUUAAUUAGCGACCCGCACGAAAGGCGUCACGACUUUGUAACUGUCUUGAACCUUCACCCGGCGAAAUUGAAAUGGCUGUGAAGAUGCGGCCUACUGACUGCAGGACAAAAAGACCCCGUGGAGCUUUACUACAGCUUGGCACUGAUUUUUCAUACCGAAUCGUCGAGCAUAGGCGGGACCUCGCAGAUUUAUUUUGCGGGGGUCACUGGAAUACCGCUCGUUUAGCAUGAGAAAUCUUACUCAAAGAUUCUGGAAACGAAUCUGGGGACACUGUCUGGUGGGUAGUUUAACUGGGGAGGUUGCUUGCUAAAGAGUACCGCAAGCGUGCAAUGGUACCCUUAGUCCCGAUGGAAACGGGACCGGACGUGCAAUGGCAUAAGGGUGCUUGACUGUGAGGCAAACUAGCCGAGCAGAUGCGAAAGCAGGUCAUAGUGAUCCUCGUGUGCUUUGUGGAAGGCACCGGGCUUAACGGAUAAAAGCUACCCCGGGGAUAACAGAGUAGUCGCGCCUAAGCGUCCAUAGCGACGGCGCGGUUCGCUACCUCGAUGUCGGCUCAACGCAUCCUGGGGGUGGAGAAGCUCCCAAGGGUUGGACUGUUCGCCCAUUAAAGCGUUACGCGAGCUGGGUUCAGAACGUCGUAAGACAGUUCGGCCUCUAUCCGCAGUCAGCGUGGGAUUCUUGAGGGAAGCUGGCCACAGUACGAGAGGACCUGGCUGGGGCAGUCCCUGGUGUUCCUGUUGUCGCUGUCAAGCGCACCGCAGGGUAGCUACACUGCUUCGAGAUAACCGCUGAAAGCAUCUAAGCGGGAAGCUCAUCCCAAGAUAAGGAAUCCAUCCGAGUUCAGCUCGGGAGAGACCCCUAGGAGACUACUAGGUUGAUAGGCGGCCGGUGGAAGUCCGGUAACGGAUUAAGCCUAGCCGUACUAAUUGGUCGAAAGUAGACAAAUC